rnacentral:tRNA from 1 species
GCGUUUUUAGCUCAGUGGGUAGAGCCAUCGCAUGAAAAGCGAUAGGUCGCCGGUUCGAGUCCGGUAAUACGCC